AACGAACGCUGGCGGCAUGCCUAACACAUGCAAGUCGAACGAGACCUUCGGGUCUAGUGGCGCACGGGUGCGUAACGCGUGGGAACCUGCCCUUAGGUUCGGAAUAACUCCCCGAAAGGGGUGCUAAUACCGGAUAAUGUCUUCGGACCCAAGAUUUAUCGCCUUUGGUUGGGCCCGCGUUGGAUAAGCUAGUUGGUAGGGUAAAAGCCUACCAAGGCGACGAUCCAUAGCUGGGCUGAGAGGAUGAUCAGCCACUCUGGGACUGGGACACGGCCCGGACUCCUACGCGAGGCAGGAAUGGGGGACGUUGGAACGCGGGGUGAGUGCUGAUCCAGCACGGCCCCGUGAGCGAUGAAAGCCUUAGGGUUGUAAAGCGCAUUUACCCGGGCUGAUAAUGACAGUACCGGGAGAAUAAGCCCCGGCUAACUCCGUG
rnacentral:rRNA from 1 species